AAAACAUAUCAGCAGUUUAGCAACAGAAGUAAUAAAACACACAUUUACUAGCUACAAUAGCAACUAGUAAACACAUAUUAAACACAUAUGUGCUUCUUCUCCCCCUCAGUCUGUUCAACACAGACAUCUCCUUCAACAACACCUGUAACAUACAUCACCCCAUCUGAUAUCAUCUUCAACAUCACCUGUACUGCACACAACAUCCUUUUC
rnacentral:lncRNA from 1 species